rnacentral:rRNA from 1 species
GAUGAACGCUAGCUACAGGCUUAACACAUGCAAGUCGAGGGGCAGCGCGAUGUAGCAAUACAGUUGGCGGCGACCGGCGCACGGGUGCGUAACACGUAUGGAACCUGCCCUGUACUGGAAGAUAACCCGGAGAAAUCCGGACUAAUAUUCCAUAAUAAACGAGGUGGCAUCACCUUGUUUUGAAAGCUCCGGCGGUACAGGAUGGUCAUGCGCACGAUUAGCUAGUUGGUGAGGUAACGGCUCACCAAGGCUACGAUCGUUAGGGGGCCUGAGAGGAAGGUCCCCCACAUUGGAACUGAGAAACGGUCCAAACUCCUACGGGAGGCAGCAGUGAGGAAUAUUGGUCAAUGGGCGAGAGCCUGAACCAGCCAAGUCGCGUGAAGGAAGAAGGUCUUAUGGAUUGUAAACUUCUUUAGCAGGGGAAUAAAGGUUAUUACGAGCUAAUAAUUUGCAGGUACUCUGCGAAAAAGGAUCGGCUAACUCCGUG